AAAUUGAAGAGUUUGAUCAUGGCUCAGAUUGAACGCUGGCGGCAGGCCUAACACAUGCAAGUCGAACGGUAACAGGAAGCAGCUUGCUGCUUUGCUGACGAGUGGCGGACGGGUGAGUAAUGUCUGGGAAACUGCCUGAUGGAGGGGGAUAACUACUGGAAACGGUAGCUAAUACCGCAUAACGUCGCAAGACCAAAGAGGGGGACCUUCGGGCCUCUUGCCAUCG
rnacentral:rRNA from 1 species